UCCCUGGUGGCUCAAUGGUAAAGAAUCUGCCUGCAAAGCAGGAGACCCAGGUUUGAUCCCUGGGUGGGGAA
rnacentral:tRNA from 1 species